UUUUGUUGACAUCCAAUGGUCUUACUGGACAUCCAAAUCCAAAUCGGACACUGGGAGGACACUGUCUUUUCUUGACCAGCCUCUAAGGCAGAAGGUGAGACCCUACGGACCAGGGUCGCCGAAACGUAAGCUGCAGUAGCAUGUCAGCAGGGUGCUCUGUGGAGGAACAUGCAGCAGACUUAGUUUUCUUUGCUCCCGCGAGGACAUGAGAAAAAAAAUGAGGGACGGAAAUAGAGAGAGAGAGGAGCUGGAAACACGUGGGAGCAAGAACUCCGUGGGCAGCUGGCCCCUGAGGACAAACAGGAACAUUAAGUGCUGUGAGCACCUCGGUACCUUCUGGAAAGAUCUGCCACAGACACUGUUCUGUGUCCAGGUGGCUUUGAACUUUGAAGGAGGAGUUGAGAGUGGAAAGGGCUGCUUUCUUAGUUUGGGAAAAACAGCAGAUAUGAAGGGAUAGCCACAAGAAGCAAAGUUAGAACAAAAGGUUUGGAAAGAAAUCAAUACCAAGAUACUUUUUAAAUGCCAGUGAUAAUAACGGUCAACAAUCAUCGAACACACUCUGAACCAGGCUGAGGAUACAAUGGAGAAGAUCAGCAUUGUCCCUGAACAGAUGAAGGAAGGAAAGUAGUUCCCAUGUGGCGAAUGCGCCUCUUGGUCAGAAACUUCACUUUCAUCCAGAGCCAGGAGCACAGGGCUAUUCAAGGUUUAAAAAUGGGACUCGACUUGAUUACUUCCAGCCUAGUGAUUUUAUACGCUGCUGUUUUUCCGAUUAUUUAUUUUAUUACAAUCUAUUGUUUCAUGUCACAGCUGGAGUUCAUAUGUAUUUCAAUAAAUUACGCAUUUUGCUAACCAAAAU